rnacentral:lncRNA from 1 species
UAAUAUUUAUUGAUUUGUAAAAAGUUCUGAUUUUUCUAACACUUAAAUGUAGGAAAAUGUGCAGUGUUAAAACUACCAUCUUUUGCCUUUCUUUCUUCCCCAGUUAUUUGUUAACUAAUUCAUUCAACAAGUAUUUAUUGAGCACCUGUUAUGUGUCAGAGACAAGACACAUAGAUAUGGGGAUACAGUGAUGAAAGAAAACAGACAAGUACACCUGCCUUCAGGAAGCUUAUUUGAGUGGGAGAAGACAACAGAUGUAGUAAAAUCAGUAAAUUAUAUAGUUAGUUAUGAGAUCAUAGGUGCUAUGGUAAAAAAAUUAGCUCAGGGUAGUGGGAAUCAAGAGUGUUGGGGAGGGAAGAAAAGGGUGAAAUUUUAUAACAGAUUGUUGGUGCUGGUCUUUUUACAAAGAUGACAUUUGAGCAAAGACCUAAGUAAAGACCCACGAAAGGAGUUAGCCAUGUGGCCAUUUGAGGGAAUGUCCGCAAGAAGGCUCCAAGAUAGUCCGCAAGGAGGCCAGUGCAACUGAUGCGGAAUGAGACGCGGAAGGAGAGGAACUGAGCUCUCCAAGGCGGUGGAUGUCACAUCACGUAAGCUCUUUUUGUUCUGUUGGUGUCUUUAAAUAAUGCACUUAAACAUGGAUUUCUGCUGAGCUUACCCCAGGCCAAAAGCCCAACACUGUUCUCUGAAGAGAAGUGAGGCAGGGGAGGUUGAACUACUCAAACUCGGUUUCUGCUUCCUACCUCACCACCUGGAUGAUUCAUGGCUCCUCCCCCGUGACAGAAUGUGUGAGAGACGGGAGAGUCCGGGGUUGCGAUAACUGAUGAGAAAAGAAAGCAGGGGGAGAAGCCGUUCACAGUGAUCACGUUUGACUUCUUCUGUUGACAGAUGAGGAAAUUGAAGUCCCAAAAGGAAAACUGACCCACCUAGUGUUAUUUAUUUAAGAACAGAUAUUAGACUCCAGUCUAAUCUAUCCUCUUCGCUCUUCCUGUUGUACUGAGGACAUCCCUGUAACGAAUCGGGAAUAGAAACAGUAUGGUUUUAUCAGGUUGAUCAUAGUUGGGAAUAAGAAUUUGU